rnacentral:rRNA from 1 species
CAGUAGCCGCGGUAAUACGUAGGGUGCAAGCGUUAAUCGGAAUUACUGGGCGUAAAGCGUGCGCAGGCGGUUGUGUAAGACAGGUGUGAAAUCCCCGGGCUUAACCUGGGAACUGCGCUUGUGACUGCACAGCUAGAGUAUGGCAGAGGGGGGUGGAAUUCCACGUGUAGCAGUGAAAUGCGUAGAGAUGUGGAGGAACACCGAUGGCGAAGGCAGCCCCCUGGGCCAAUACUGACGCUCAUGCACGAAAGCGUGGGGAGCAAACAGGAUUAGAUACCCCCGUAGUCCCUGUCUCUUAUAC